UUCUACGGGCUGCUAUGUUGAUUAUACUGUGUGUUACAAGUCAAGAAAAAUAAAGUUACAUGGAUUGUAAUCCUGUUAGCUUGCCAGGAUAUGAAAUCGGAAAUACUGUGUUGGUCACGCUGCAGUCGAAAGCUCGGCCGAGGUUAUGUCAACACAGGCAAGAAGUCUACCUUCAUGGCCCCCCUGCCGGGUCGGACAAUGGCUUGUGUUUCCACGGCACAAAGUACCCUCUGUGCACACUGGAGUUCCCCGGGCCUCCGUGGAGGUGUUCAUCCCAGCAUGCCCGCCAUGGUGCAUGAUCAAUCACCGUGUUUGCGCCCGGAGCUGAUCGUCCCUCGGGCGGUGGUGCGAAGGCGGCACGCGGGGCCUCCAUCGACGGUGACCCCGGGCAGUCAGCCACGAUGCCCGCGGGUCAGCAAAGCCUCGGUCAGUCCAUGAAAAGUCAUCAUCCGUCACAUCUGGUUUACAUUAAAGAAGAGCCAGGCAUGAUGAUGGCUCCUGCUGCCGGACUGUCUGAGGCUAUUGAUGGCGUCUCCGUGUCAUGCGGUGUUGGCGUACGCGCCUUGCCAGCUUCAUCACGCCGGGCUGGUGUCGUGUGUGUGGUCAACAGGCGACGGAGGCACCGUAGAAAACUGGACAUGGGCCAGUAUGCAGCUGGACUAGUCGACAAGAACGUCUGUUCGUGAAGCCUGAUACCUUUUCAACAUUAAGCAAACCCUUGCACCAGCUCCUUCCUUCUUCCUUGUGUCCUGCCUGUGUCCUCGACAGCAGGGGAGAAGCAGCCAGAAGGGGUGAGAGACGUGGAUGUGUGAGAGAAGGAACACUUUCUUCCACUUGCUUGUAUAAAGCCAUCAGUAUCCCUGUUAAGUCCCUCCGCCGUCUGUCCUCCUCACCCGCCGCCUGCUUGUCAAAGUGUUUAUUCAGCCUGGCAUUGUUUCCUCGCUCCUCAUUUUCACAGAAAGACUCCGAGAGCGUGAUUCACUGCAUUCACUUGAAGACAGUAGGGGAAAUGAAAAGACAUUUGGGGGGUAAAGACCCCCUGCCUCAAGUGCGCCAGUCAGUGGGAGGCUAUGGAGGCGCCCAUGCCAGUGAGAGGUGGCGCUAAGGUGGUAAAGAAAUGGAAAAAGGG